UGCCAGCCGCCGCGGUAAUACGAAGGGUGCUAGCGUUGUUCGGAAUUACUGGGCGUAAAGAGCAUGUAGGCGGAUGAAUUAGUCAGAGGUGAAAUCCCAGGGCUCAACCCUGGAACUGCCUUUGAUACUGGUAGUCUUGAGUUCGAGAGAGGUGAGUGGAAUUCCUAGUGUAGCGGUGAAAUGCGUAGAUAUUAGGAGGAACACCAGUGGCGAAGGCGGCUCUCUGGACUGUAACUGACGCUGAGGCACGAAAGCGUGGGGAGCAAACAGGAUUAGAUA
rnacentral:rRNA from 1 species